AUGCACAUCGCGGGCAGAAGAGUGCUGGUGCGGUGCGUCCUCUCGGCCCUCACGGCCCUUCGAGCUCCGAAGAGAUUCUUCAAGGACGUGGACAAAGCAAGACGGCGCUUCCUAUGGGCGCAGGACGAGGAAAUCUCUGGUGGGAAAUGUAAGGUGCGCUGGUCGGCGAUCGCCUCGCCGAAGCGCAGCGGCGGGCUGGGCAUCCAGGACCUAGAAAAAUUUGCCCGGGCGCUACGCCUGCGCUGGCUCUGGUACUCGUGGACGCGGCCGGACUGUCCCUGGGUCGUCUCUAGCACUCCCUGCGACGACGCCGACCAGGGCCUGUUU
rnacentral:rRNA from 1 species